UACGUAGGGUGCGAGCGUUGUCCGGAAUUAUUGGGCGUAAAGAGCUUGUAGGCGGUUUGUCGCGUCUGCUGUGAAAAUCCGGGGCUUAACCCCGGACCUGCAGUGGGUACGGGCAGACUAGAGUGUGGUAGGGGAGACUGGAAUUCCUGGUGUAGCGGUGAAAUGCGCAGAUAUCAGGAGGAACACCGGUGGCGAAGGCGGGUCUCUGGGCCGAUACUGACGCUGAGGAGCGAAAGCGUGGGGAGCGAACAGG
rnacentral:rRNA from 1 species